CAUACCUAUUCGAAGGGAUAGGGUCGGUUUGGCCGGAUUUCACACAGGUGUUGCAUGGCUGUCGUCAGCUCGUGUCGUGAGAUGUUGGGUUAAGUCCCGCAACGAGCGCAACCCUCAUCCUUAGUUACCAUCAGGUUAUGCUGGGGACUUUAAGGAAACUGCCAGUGAUAAACUGGAGGAAGGUGGGGAUGAUGUCAAGUCAUCAUGGCCCUUAUGGAGUGGGCUACACACGUGCUACAAUGGUGAUUACAAUGGGCUGCAAGGUCGCAAGGCUGAGCUAAUCCUAAAAAAUCAUCUCAGUUCGGAUUGUUCUCCGCAACUCGAGAGCACGAAGUUGGAAUCGCUAGUAAUCGUGGAUCAGCAUGCCACGGUGAAUACGUUCUCGGGUCUUGUACACACUGCCCGUCACGCCAUGGGAAUUGGUUUCACUCGAAGCU
rnacentral:rRNA from 1 species